rnacentral:lncRNA from 1 species
CUCUCUCUCUCUGGGUAAAGAAAAGACGUCUAAGACUUCUUUGAAUUAUGAGCAUUCCCCCUCUGAGGAUAAAAGGUUUUAUGGGUCAGUCUUUGCCAAAUAUCCAAUAAAUUGGAUAAUUGGAGCUAAUCCAAAAUGUAAGUAGAUGAAUCUCCUUUGGAUAUUCAAAGAUUUAAAGCACUGACUUUGUUAAGAGUUUUUUUAAUACUCCUUGGUUGUAUGCCAAUUUAAACAUUUUUUAUGGUCGGUCUGGUUGACGUUCUGGGUUCCAGGAGUACAAUGAAGAACUACUGCCCAGAAAUACCAGGAGCAGGAUCAUGAUAAUCGUAUGAAGAAAUUAAUAGGCUGAGUCCAAUUAAUGUCCUGAUCUAAUGUUGGAGAGUACAGGAUAUAGAGGGGAUUGAAAACAAUCAAUUUUAUGCACCAACUCAGCAGCAAGAUAACUACCAUCAGCAUGUCUUCAUGCAGAUAAUAAGGAUACAACCAUGGAAAAGAGAGAGAGGAAGAACCUUGAGAGAGGGGGGUGGGUGGGUGGGGGGGUGGAAGUUGGGAGGGGAGAAAGCAGCAGAUUUCUCUGAAAGAAAACAAGAAAGCACAUUACUCUCAAUUACAAAGCACAUUGUCAAACAAGAAAACCCUCAGACUCUAUUCUCUCUAUCUCUAAUUUUAGAAAAAAUUAACUUCAUUUUGCUUUGAUGUUUGCAGUAUCAAAAUGUUAAGAACAUAAAUCAGCAGGUUCUUUUCCGCUUCAAACAUCCCAAUUAAGAAAUUAGUCUAUGCAAUAGAUCCAGCUGAACCUACAAACUGACCUGAAUCAAAGUCCACCAUCCUCUUCUCAGCAGAUAAAAAAUUGUUAGUCUUUUUCAUCAAUUAUUCAAUAUAAAUCAGUUAUGCUGACUGACUCUAAUUAGCUUCUUAUUUACAAGAAAGCAUAUAAUAAAUAUCUUUCCCAGAUAAAGAUAGAAACUGAUUUAAAUAACCACAAAGGAAGUAAACUGUUCGAUGUUAAUACUGAUUUUAAAAAAUCACGAUUCCAGCUGCAAUGCGAAAUUGGAGAUUUCAGACUUAAAAGACCAGCAGACUGGAACAUCUAGAUAUUUUAAUUAGAAAUAAAAAUAUCACCACAUUUUAAAACAAAAAUUAAUGAAGGUAUCCCAGCAGCAUGUGAUACAUGCCAUCUGACCCAAUAAUUCUUCAAACCACAAAAAUCUCGAGAUUUUUAAAUUUCUAUAGAUACUGUACAUGAUGCAUAGAAGUAACCAUACCAAAACCUGAACCUCAAAACAUAACCUCUCUCAACAAUAAUUGACUCAAAAAUCCUGAAUGCAGAUUCUUCAACAAGUUACUCUUCCUUUAAUCUAUUACAACAGAUAAAUAAAUUAAAGGGCUCUACUUAAGUUAGCUGAUUAAAAGAA